rnacentral:rRNA from 1 species
UGGGCUUGACAUGGUAGGAUUAGCUUGCUGAAAAGUAAGUGACGCUCAUUCGUGAGAGGAACUAUCAC